CAUAAACACACCAGCAUCGGUUGUCAAGCAAUGCUAGGGGGACAAACACAGACACACAAACACACACACACACAUAUAUAUAUACAUAUAUACGACGGGCUUCUUUCAGUUUCCGUCUACCAAAUCCACUCACAAGGCUUUGGUCGGCCCGAGACUAUAGUAGAAGACACUUGCCCAAGAUGUCACGCAGUGGGACUUAACCCAGAACCAUGUGGUUGGUAAGCAAGCUACUUACCACACAUCCACUCCUGCGCCUAUAUAUAUAUAUAUAUAUAAUAUAUACAAUAGCUAUUGUUAUUGUUAUUGUUUGUUUUUUUCAAUUUCAGAUCUGGGGUUCAAAAUAUGGUAAUACUAAGGACGGAGUUAUUUCUUCCUCUGUUAUUGAAUGGGGCCCACUGAACGUUGCAUCUCGGAUCACGUUGAGAGACGAAAACGACAGGGAAAGAGCCUUGCUCCACGUCAAAUACUCUGGCUAAGACUCUUGUUUUGAUAGAGGAAGUCCUGGCCAAGAAGACCUUUUGUCUCUAUCUCAACUUCCAGAAGAUUAAUUAUUUUAUUGCAAAGAGUUUCUUAUAUAAUAUCUUCAGUUGAGGGAUAAUAUAAUUCUUUACUUUGUUGUUUUCUUUAUUUCUCCUUUUUUUAUUACAAUUUUACACCAUUCUCUAAAGAAUGACAUAAUUUAGAAAAGAAAAAUGCUCUAUUCAGUCCUCAACACAGCAUAUUUUAUGGCUAAGCUACAUUAAUAUUAAAUACUCUCAACUGCUUUCGCUUGUUAUUUCAUAUAUUCCCAAAAUACAAAUGGUUGUUGGGCUAGGGAUCUAGACAAUUUCGUAGAUAACGCAACUAAUUUUCGGUCGGUGUGGGUCCUAGGUGCCUACAUUGUGACUGAUUCAACAUAUUUCCAUCCGUAUAUUUAAAAACACUUAUCGUUUGAUAAAACUUGUAUUGAAGGUAAGACAGAAAAUCAAAUUUUGGAAAAGGUUCUUUAUAUUACAUACAAAAGGAAAAAAAAUCAAAAUGCAUCUGAAACAUUAUUGGGAAGAUGGGAUUAGGUUUUCCAGAAGAUUAGUGUGCCUUAUCUUUCUUAACCUUAGAGCGGCAGAUUGACAAUGGCAGCGGGAUGGCAGAAUUAGUAGGGCGUCGGACAAAAUGCUUUACAGUUUUUAAUUACGUCCCUUUAUAUUCUGAGUUCAAAUUCCACCCAGGUCAACUUUGUCUUUCAUCUUUCUGUGGUCUUUUUCAAAUAAAGUACCAGUCAAGUACUGGCGUCGAUUUCAUCGACUGUUCCUCCCGUCUCAAAUUUGUAGCCCUGUGCCUUACAUAGAAACUAACAUCUCUUUUCUCUUCAAACAAUACGUGUUGUAUUGUUUUUUUACUUUUCUAGGUUCUUCUAGCUGAAUUGUAAGGAACAAAAAUAAAAUGGCAAUAAAACUGUUUUCAGUAUAUAUAUAAAUAUC